ACUGGGCGUAAAGCGCAUGCAGGUGGUUUUGUUAAGUCAGAUGUGAAAGCCCGGGGCUCAACCUCGGAAUUUGCAUUUGAAACUGGCAGACUAGAGUACUGUAGAGGGGGUAGAAGUUUCAGGUGUAGCGGUGAAAAUGCGUAGAGAUCUGAAGGAAUACCGGUGGCGAAGGCGGCCCCCUGGACAGAUACUGACACUCAGAUGCGAAAGCGUGGGGAGCAAACAGGAUUAGAUACCCUGGUAG
rnacentral:rRNA from 1 species